AUUGAACGCUGGCGGCAUGCUUUACACAUGCAAGUCGAACGGCAGCGCGGGCUUCGGCCUGGCGGCGAGUGGCGAACGGGUGAGUAAUGCAUCGGAACGUGCCCAGUCGUGGGGGAUAGCCCGGCGAAAGCCGGAUUAAUACCGCAUACGACCUGAGGGUGAAAGCGGGGGAUCGAAAGGCCUCGCGCUAUUGGAGCGGCCGAUGUCGGAUUAGCUAGUUGGUGGGGUAAAGGCUUACCAAGGCGACGAUCCGUAGCUGGUCUGAGAGGACGACCAGCCACACUGGGACUGAGACACGGCCCAGACUCCUACGGGAGGCAGCAGUGGGGAAUUUUGGACAAUGGGGGCAACCCUGAUCCAGCCAUGCCGCGUGCGGGAAGAAGGCCUUCGGGUUGUAAACCGCUUUUGUUCGGGAAGAAAUCCUCUGGGCUAAUACCCCGGGGGGAUGACGGUACCGGAAGAAUAAGCACCGGCUAACUACGUG
rnacentral:rRNA from 1 species